rnacentral:rRNA from 1 species
GUGGGGAAUUUUGGACAAUGGGCGCAAGCCUGAUCCAGCAAUGCCGCGUGCAGGAAGAAGGCCUUCGGGUUGUAAACUGCUUUUGUACGGAACGAAACGGUCCUGGCUAAUAUCCGGGGCUAAUGACGGUACCGUAAGAAUAAGCACCGGCUAACUACGUGCCAGCAGCCGCGGUAAUACGUAGGGUGCGAGCGUUAAUCGGAAUUACUGGGCGUAAAGCGUGCGCAGGCGGUGCUGUAAGACAGGCGUGAAAUCCCCGGGCUCAACCUGGGAAUUGCGCUUGUGACUGCAGUGCUGGAGUGCGGCAGAGGGGGAUGGAAUUCCGCGUGUAGCAGUGAAAUGCGUAGAUAUGUGGAGGAACACCGAUGGCGAAGGCAAUCCCCUGGGCCUGCACUGACGCUCAUGCACGAAAGCGUGGGGAGCAAACAGGAUUAGAAACCCGAGUAGUCC